AACCAUAGAAACCUGCGGAGUACCUGCGGAGGGAUCAUUACAGAGUUGCAAAACUCCCUAAACCAUUGUGAACGUUACCUAGACCGUUGCUUCGGCGGGCGGCCCGGGUCCUUCCCGGCGCCCCUCGGCCCUCGCGGGCGCCCGCCGGAGGUAAACCAAACUAUUGCAUUGUAUGGCCUCUCUGAGUCUUCUGUACUGAAUAAGUCAAAACUUUUAACAACGGAUCUCAGAUCGGAAGAG
rnacentral:misc_RNA from 1 species